UGGGUGACUCUGGGAGUCUGAUCCCCACAG
rnacentral:piRNA from 2 species